rnacentral:misc_RNA from 1 species
AACGUAGGACGCAAGCGUUAUCCGGAAUUACUGGGCGUAAAGCGCGUGUAGGCGGUUUGCCAAGUCACUGUUGAAAGCUCCCGGCUAAACUGGGAGAGGUGCGGUGAGACUGGCAGGCUAGAGUGGUGAAGAGGGGUGCAGAAUUCCGGGUGUAGUGGUGAAAUGCGUAGAGAUCCGGAGGAAUACCAGAGGCGAAGGCGGCACCCUGGUCACUAACUGACGCUGAGACGCGAAAGCGUGGGGAGCAAACAGG